GACGAACGCUGGCGGCGUGCUUAACACAUGCAAGUAGAACGCAGUUGCGAACGGGUGAGUAACGCGUAGGUAACUGCCUGGUAGCGGGGGAUAACUAUUGGAAACGAUCGCUAAUACCGCAUACUACCAGAUGGACCUGCGUUGUAUUAGCUAGUUGGUGAGGUAACGGCUCACCAAGGCAACGAUACAUAGCCGACCUGGGAGGGAGAUCGGCCCACCUGGGACUGGGACACGGCCCAGACUCCUACGGGGAGCAGCAGUAGGGAAUCUUCGGCAAUGGGGGGAACCCUGACCGAGCAACGCCGCGGGAGUGAAGAAGGUUUUCGGAUCGUAAAGCUCUGUUGUUAAGGAAGCGGUACUUAACCAGAAAGGGACGGCUAACUACGUGCCAGCAGCCGCGGUAAUAC
rnacentral:rRNA from 1 species